rnacentral:lncRNA from 1 species
UCCACAUUUUUUUGAUUUUUUUAUUUUAAUUUUUAUUCCUUUGAUUUUCAUUAAUUCAUAUCAAUUUUAAUAUUGAUCCAAAAAAUAUGAGAGUUUCACCAGAAAAAUUGAAAUAAUUUCCUCUUUCAUAUUCUGAAUUAAAAUUAUUUUUUGGAUCAUUAUUAAUAUUUUUCAUGAUUUAAUUGAUUUUUCAUUUGUUUUUAAUUGUUUAAAAAUAC